GACGUAGGGCGCGAGCGUUGUCCGGAUUUAUUGGGCGUAAAGAGCUCGUAGGCGGCUUGUCGCGUCGUCCGUGAAAACUUGGGGCUCAACCCCAAGCCUGCGGUCGAUACGGGCAGGCUAGAGUUCGGUAGGGGAGACUGGAAUUCCUGGUGUAGCGGUGAAAUGCGCAGAUAUCAGGAAGAACACCCGUGGCGAAGGCGGCUCUCUGGAACGCAACUGACGCUGAGACGCGAAAGCGUGGGGAGCAAACAGG
rnacentral:rRNA from 1 species